AUUGAGAUUUUCUAAUUUUUUAUUUAAUUAAUUAGAAAAGAAAAGGGGUAUAAGAGUAAAUGAUCUUAUCAAAUGAAAUCUAUUUUUGUGAUUUUUGAUCUUGGGUGCUAGUUUGGGAACAAAAACUUGGUUUAGUGCUAUUUUUAUCAUUUUCUCAAUUUUUAUUCAUAUAUUAUCAGAACCUAUACAAAAAGGAACUAAUAAAGCACUCUGAGCAUGUCCACAUCAGCCAAAAGAAUCAGCCAACCAUUUAUCUCUAAUUUGCCACAUCAUUCGCUCAUACACAGAAUUGACUCGACGAGCCUCUCUGUUUCGUCUUCCUCCACAGUGAUGAGAACAAACCGCCGUACAUCACUUCUGAUUCUCCUUCCCCUCCACAUCUAAGUCUCAUAAAGUUCAUGUAUUUAUCAUAACUCAAACGACAUGAAUCUUUCCCCCUCCCCUCCCAUCCCAUCCCAUCAUCUCCACACUUAUAUAUCUCCCUUCUUCCUCGCUUCUCCUUUUCACCCUAUUCACCCAAACCAAAUUUUCAGAGAAAAGGAUGACCUAAUGAGGAAAUCAACCGUCAAAGCCCCUACAUCUCUGUUCUAAAAUGAUAUCGCUCAUGUCCAGAGAUACUCGGAGCUACUACGGAUUCCAUUAAUCAUGUUCUAACCCGAUAAUUUUGUCCAUUUUGUAAUAUUAGUUUCUUUCAAUUUUUGUGAAGCUGCUUCAUGUUCUUUCUCGAUUCAUUCUUCAAUCAGAAGAUGGGUCAAUGUGUUUGCCCACAGCUGUUGGAGUACUUUAGAUAUGUAAGAUCGAGACAUGCUUUUUCAAUGAUUGUGGUGACCUAGCCGCGCAGUUGCUAUAUGUAAAAUCAAUUCUUCCUUACAGUACAAUGCUCACCAACAAGUUAUAAUCAUCAACACUCAUUUGCUCUUUCCUCAUGAUUCAACAUUGUCUAUGGUAAGAGAUUGCAGCAUGUACAAUGUUUCACUCUUAUUCACUAUCACUGCUGAUGAUUUGCAUCUUUCUGAACAAGACUGUUUUUGACAGGUUUAUAAGAUUCUCCAGUAGAACGAUGAAAACAUUGCCAAGUUUGAUGCUUUUGUUCGGUUUGUAUCGUAAAAGCUGUUUCUUUCUUUCACAUGAUGGCUUAUUUACUUAAAAGUUAUUUGUUUGUGUAGCUAAUGAGGGCUCCUUGAUUGUGUUAUAGUCUACUGAUUAUAUUAGUUUCUUUGAAGAUUGCAGAACGCCUUCAUGAAACCGCUCCAGAUGCCGCGGCUAAAGGGAACCAAUAUAUCCACUCUUGCCUCAGUUACUUCCAUAAUGAUCUCGAUACUGAACGAAGAGAUUAAAGGCUUUGUGAAAGCUGGCUUUUCGGUUGUGUCCUUAAUAUGGUUCUUCGCGUGUCAAACAUGCGGUUGAAUGUUGUACACAGGGAGAGAAAUAAAUACCAUGUUUAUGUCAUCUAGCGGAGAUA